UGUAACUGAGGCACGGAGCAAUCAACAUUGUGGAGCCAAUUCCCACGAUGGUGAGUGGGGGCAGUGGAGGUGACAACAAUGACAAGACCGUCCUUCUGACAAGUUUGAGGUUCUCAGGCUGACAGAGGACGUGGUUUGCCAACUGCACUCACUCCACUCAGCGCAGAAUGGCUUAGAGACUUAUAGACAGACAUGCCCAAAGAAGUCUUUCCAAGGAAGGAGAGGCUAUUUCUACAGGUGUCACAGAAAAAUCAAUCCUAGGCCACGGGUUAUUGGACCCCAUGGAACUGUGGAGAAUUGGCAGUGAAAUUCUUACAAAGGCAGCCAGUGUACCUAGCUUGGAAAGUAUAAAUCCCGUGGGAAGUCAGCUGAAGAACAUUUUAUGCAUCACUCAUCCUAUUAUGAGCCCGGUGCUCUUCCAUCUCUCUACAAGUGGAUGACUGAUUGUACCGGCCAGCUGGCUAAUAUCAUAAUUAACAAAGUUGCUACUACGUCUGUGAAGUUUAAUCAAAACAUUUACUGGUGAUAGGAUGGCAUUGUCACAACCAUCACAAGGGACUCAGAGUCGACUUCUGCUUGAGGUGGAGCUGGAGCGGCAGAGCAAGAUGAGAAACUGUGAACUUGUUCAGCUAAAGGUUAUGCUUCAUAUCACCCACCAAGGAGGAUCAUCUCUCAUGAAAACUUUCAAAUUUGAUUUUGAAAAUUUAUUCAGAAAAAUUUAAGCCACACAUUUUCCCAACAUAGAAAAUAAUAUGCUCUGGAGAAUCAUCUAAUUCGUAGAAAAUGGACUAGGAUAACAUUUGGGUUCUCACACAACUGCGGUCCUCUUGAGAAAACAGCCAGGACACAGCGACUCAAUAGCACACUUUGUUUUGUUGCCCCAUCCCGCCCCUGUGCUGCCUUCCGUGGAGAUUAGAACCUUGGUUGGAAUUCCCUGUGGUCAGUGGAGCUUGGAGCCUCUUUCUGGCUUGGAAAGAGGCUAAUAAUGAAGGGACCAGGGGAGCAGGCCAAUACUACAAGGGUUAUCUCACAACCUCAGAUGUCGGAUAAGUUGAAGGAGGCAGGAUCGCCUCUGGAUGACAUUCAGAAAGGCUGGGAUAAUUAUUUGGAAGAGAAAAGCCUGCCUAUUCUUUCCAAGGUACAUGAGUACUGUCUGACCAGCCUGUCCUCAGGUUCAACGCUACAUCCUUGGAAACCUGUCUUAAACAAAGGAUGUGCUCAGAGCUCCAACCACACCCAAAAGCCCAUGCUUUGAAGGAUCUGCCAAGCUCACUUUUAAUCAUGAGAAAGAAAUUACCCACAUGGAGACAGCAGAAAAUGAGAAAGCAAAGCUCGUGCUGUGAAUAAUUCCAGCGAGUGCCAAGGGGCUAGUUGAGGAAUGGUUUCACGAGAUAUCAGUCUAAUACAGCACUUUGGAUCUAAGCAGCAACUCUGAGAAAGAAAGACAUCUUCAACAACGUCUUAUUGUACCUCCUUUCCUUACAGAGCUCAGUAGCUUAAUAUCAUUUUUACUUGAACUGUUUAAUGUUUACUAAUGAAUUAUAUUCAUUUUUACUCUCUUCUGUAUAUUUAUUUUUGCUAAAACUGUUUUAAUGUUAACUUAA